rnacentral:rRNA from 1 species
AUUUUCUGCCACCGAAUACAUUAGCAUGGGAUAAUGGAAUAGGACCCUGUCCUCCUAUUUUCAGUUGGUUUUGGCAGCGCGAGGACUAGGGUAAUGAUUAAUAGGGAUAGUUGGGGGCAUUAAUAUUUAAUUGUCAGAGGUGAAAUUCUUGGAUUUAUGAAAGAUUAACUUCUGCGAAAGCAUCUGCCAAGGAUGUUUUCAUUAAUCAAGAACGAAAGUUAGGGGAUCGAAGACGAUCAGAUACCGUCGUAGUCUUAACCAUAAACGAUGCCGACCAGCGAUUAGGAGACGUUGAAUACAAAACACCACCAUCGGCGCGGUCGUCCUUGGCGUUCGUGUUCACGCACGGGCGCGAGGGCGGCUUAGCCCGGUGGCACCGGUGAAUGACUCCCCUAGCAGCUUGUGAGAA